GAUCAUGGCUCAGGAUGAACGCUGGCGGCGUGCUUAACACAUGCAAGUCGAACGAAGCACUUUAUUUGAUUUCCUUCGGGACUGAUUAUUUGUGACUGAGUGGCGACGGGUGAGUAACGCGUGGGUAACCUGCCUUAUACAGGGGGAUAACAGUUAGAAAUGACUGCUAAUACCGCAUAAGCGCACAGGAUUGCAUGAUCUGGUGUGAAAAACUCCGGUGGUAUAAGAUGGACCCGCGUCUGAUUAGCUGGUUGGUGAGGUAACGGCCCACCAAGGCGACGAUCAGUAGCCGACCUGAGAGGGUGACCGGCCACAUUGGGACUGAGACACGGCCCAAACUCCUACGGGAGGCAGCAGUGGGGAAUAUUGCACAAUGGGGGAAACCCUGAUGCAGCGACGCCGCGUGAGCGAAGAAGUAUUUCGGUAUGUAAAGCUCUAUCAGCAGGGAAGAAAAAAUGACGGUACCUGACUAAGAGGCCCCGGCUAACUACGUG
rnacentral:rRNA from 1 species